CAAUCAUAAUGUAUAUUUUAGUCAUUUGAAUUUUUGUAAGAAGUGAAUAUACAUUUUUGCAAUCAAGAAAGAAUCCACAUGUCAAUAAAAUAAGUUUUUUUGAUUUGCUUACGUUGAAAAAGUACCUUUCAAAUGCCCUGUGAAAUAUACUUUAAGAAUUGAUAAAAAUGCACUCUACAACUUUUAACCUUCAAUGUCAUAUAACUUAUUGUUUCAACUUACAACAUGUCCUUAAACAACAUUUUCAGGCAUUGUAAAGUUCUUAGUUGUUGCAUGGUCUAGAUUGUAUGUCUCACAAGGAUAGUUGGUUACAUUUACUUAGUAGAAGAAUUUUUGAUUUGCAAUUUUUUGAUUUUUUGCAACAUGUUCAGAACAGGCAACAUUAUUUGGAUAAGAUAUAAACUGCAGUUUAAAUAAAAUUGUGCAAAUUAAAAAACCCAUAUUAUUUAAUAUGAGCUCAUGUUAUCCUCAUACUAGAAAAGUACUUUUCCUUCUAAAGACCUCCUUAUAAUGCAUUUUCAGCAAUAGUGCUUCAUUUAUGUUCAUUUCCCCCACCAUACCUUAAUAUGAAUUUUUUAAAACUAUUCUUCUAAUCUUUCAAUAAGUGAUUUCCAUCACUUUGAUUUUCAUUGCAAUUACAAUACAAGACAAUUUUCAAACUAAAACUAUAUAAGAGAAGGAAAACAACAAACACAGUACAUAUUCUCAAAGAUAAUGUGUGAGUGAACUGGCCACAGACCACAAUUAAUUCCUCUAUCAGUUCUUAAUAACGUUUUGCAUCGUUAAAAAAAUUGCACUAUGCACUUUUGUCAAAUUUUGUGUGUGUGUAAUGUAUAUUCCUAGUCCAAAUAUGUAUUAAAAAUUCAGAAAGAUUGAACCAAUCACUUUUACAAAUUUAGCCAAUGCACAUCCAUACCCCUAUUGACAAGUCAAAAGAUGUAGCUAUUAUCUUUUUGCACUUAGCCUUAUCACUCAUUCCAUAUCAAAUUCAGUUUAAAUACAACAUCCAAAAAUUUAUUUCACCUCUCUUCUUUCAUUUGCACCCAAAAAAUUCUAAAAAAUGAGUGAGGAAGGGAAAGGAAACAAAUUAAUGAAACAUAUACUCUAAUUAAAAGGAACUAUAUUCGUGGACAAUGAAAAGCGGGUUAUUCUAAGCUAUUUUAAGCUAUUUAAACCCAUGAGUUCAGCCUUAAGAUCCAUAUGAAUUGGACUGAAUGUCCAGGAAACCUACCCAUAUCGGUCUGAAACAAUUUAAAGCUAAUUGCAGCUAUUUCAACCCAAGAAGAGCUUUGGGCUACUCAUGUAUUAAUACUUAAUUUUACUCUUCUAGUCUCUAUUAAACUAUCUAUUAAUUUAAUCAUUAUGUUAUUAACAAAUGGAUAUUCUUUUGACAUCAACC
rnacentral:lncRNA from 1 species